UUUUCACCUAAUGUUUAUACUAGAUGUUAUCGUGCGCCUUCUUUUGUGAUUUCUUCUCAACACCAAGACCAACUGUAUUUGCCAUUGUCUUCAUUAUAGAUGAAAAGUUGUCCUCGCCAACUAAUUGUGAUAUAAAUAGAUCAUGGAUUUAGGAUUAUCAUUGUAUGUAGCUGAAUAUGCUUUAUGUCAACCUGCCUCGAAAUAAGCCAAACUCAUAUAAGAAAGAUGACGUUUGGAAUAAUAUUUCUGUUCUUGGUCACGCGCUGCAGUUUCACAUAUGGAUUAACGCCCUGUAUUGGAACUGGAAACAUGUUUACUGUUUAUCAGGGGACUGGGAACUUGUGUAUCAUGCAGUAAGUGGCAACGGACAAAAUUUCAUGGACACCUGGCAGAAAAGAUUCACUAAAAAGUGCGAGCUCUUUACCGACAAUUGUCAAUGCUAUUAGAUGGAGGGUUGUCUGUCGCCAAAUCUGCGGAUGGAAACGCUGGGUGUCACCCCAAGGAAAAUCGUUAGAAGUCCAAAAUUGAUUAUUGACCUUGUCUCAAUAUUCGAAAGGUGAAUUCGACGGAAAAGCAUUAAGUUAGUGGAUAUUGACAUGUUUUACAAAUUCACAAGACCGACUUUCACUAGACAUGGUAUACAAGUGUACAAUCUUAUGAUUGUAUUGAUAUUUUAUUGUGCGAUUCCAUUCAAGCCCACCAAAAUUCAUUUCACAUUUAUAUGAAUAUCAUCACUUCUACUGUUCUGAAGAGAAUAAAAUGUGUUAUCCAAGAUAACUUUCGCCCAUGAAAAUAAUGCUUCUUAUCUAUAAUGUGCAAAUUCUUAUUAAAGGUUAAAAUUGAGUUGAAUAAAGGAAGCAAAACCGUGGCAUUUAUUGAAUUCAAUGGAAAAGGAUCCAACUACAUGAACUGGUUCCACCGAAGCAGAGUAAUAAAGUCCAGCUGGAUAUCAUUUCUUAAAUGAACUUCUUGUCCCAAAUCAUAAAAUGAAGUCCGUAAUAGCUCCAAAUGACUGAAAUUUGUAAAACCGUCUGUACUUUCACUAUCACAGCCAUUACGUUAGUUACUACUAAUUACCCAAAAAGGAUGGGAGGAACUAUAUAAUGAUAUAUAGACCCAAAUACUAAUAUUUAUCAAUAUUGAUUCAUUAUAGUACAUAAAUUAUGCUAAUAACAAGUAUUUAUGAAUA